UGGAGCCAAAGUUUACACGUUAAAGUGCAUUUGUCUUUUCCAUGUCUACAAUGCUCCCAUAUAAAUAGUAUCGUUAAAAUCAUCUUGGACAUUCUAGUAUAUCCAAUAUCCAAUGAUAAAUAC
rnacentral:snoRNA from 1 species